GUUUUUGGCUUUUUUUUU
rnacentral:sRNA from 1 species